UACGUAGGGAGCAAGCGUUGUUCGGAUUUACUGGGCGUAAAGGGCGCGUAGGCGGCGCGGUAAGUCACUUGUGAAAUCUCUGAGCUUAACUCAGAACGGCCAAGUGAUACUGCAGUGCUAGAGUGCAGAAGGGGCAAUCGGGAAUUCUUGGUGUAGCGGUGAAAUGCGCAGAUAUCAGGAGGAACACCGAUGGCGAAGGCAGCUCGCUGGGACGGUACUGACGCUGGAGAACGCGAAAGCCGUGGGGAGCGAACAGG
rnacentral:rRNA from 1 species